UACGUAGGGGGCAAGCGUUGUCUGGAUUUAUUGGGCGUAAAGAGCGUGUAGGCGGCUGGGUAGGUCCGCUGUGAAAACUCGAGGCUUAACCUCGAGACGUCGGUGGAAACCAUCCAGCUAGAGUCCGGAAGAGGAGAGUGGAAUUCCUGGUGUAGCGGUGAAAUGCGCAGAUAUCAGGAAGAACACCCGUGGCGAAAGCGGCUCUCUGGGACGGUACUGACGCUGAGACGCGAAAGCGUGGGGAGCGAACAGG
rnacentral:rRNA from 1 species